rnacentral:rRNA from 1 species
UACGGAGGGGACUAGCGUUGUUCGGAAUUACUGGGCGUAAAGCGCACGUAGGCGGAUCAGAAAGUAUAGGGUGAAAUCCCAGGGCUCAACCCUGGAACUGCCUUAUAAACUCCUGGUCUUGAGUUCGAGAGAGGUGAGUGGAAUUCCGAGUGUAGAGGUGAAAUUCGUAGAUAUUCGGAGGAACACCAGUGGCGAAGGCGGCUCACUGGCUCGAUACUGACGCUGAGGUGCGAAAGUGUGGGGAGCAAAC